AUCAAUGACCUUACUGCUGUCUUAAAAAACCGGCCAGAUGAAGGCAUCUCAGGAGACAGGAAAUGAAGCUUACAUUGAUUUUGGACGUGCCUUGAUACUUCCCUACCUUGGAAUGCGACCUCCGAAGGCAGCAUUUUUCAGUUUUCGGAUGCACCCAUAAAUACCUAGAUGCCUCAUUGGCCGCUCAACCGCACGUCAACGUCGCCGCCAUAUUGGAGCGGGCAACUCACUCUCAUAACUCUCGCAUCGACAGUAGAAAACUUACCUGACUCAUCGACAGAUUGGACACCUUCAAACCGUCACACGAUAAUAAAAACAGAUCUCGGGAUGUUAUCGUUCACAGCCAUUUGCAAACAGGACAAGGACAGCCUUAAGGAAAGCUGUUCUCUGCAUUUCCAAGAGACAAGACUAUACCUCCCUAUAGACUAAUGUUGUGUUUGUACUAAACCCAGAGCAGCCCUGAAUGAAUCGACAGAAUGACCCAGCUCAUAUUCUCAAGCGAUUAAUCGUUUGAAAACAAGACAGAAAUACUAAGGAAGAAAAUCUCUGCAUUAAUCACUUAAUCGUUUGAUUCUGAUUCAUUCAGACAUUUCCAAUAAUGUUGAUACAAAUGCUAAUACUGCACUCAUGUUUAUAUUAAAAGAUGACAUAAUCAUUCAUAAAUAAAACUUAAACCCAGCAAAGAAAUAAUGGAUGUUGCAUUAAGUAAUUUAUUUUCUCAUUACAUACAGUCAAGUAUAUUACAGAUCUCUUCAUACUUUAUAUAAAAUUAGAUUCAUUGGCGUAUAUAUUCAGAUUUGAGAGGUUAAAGGGCAGAGAGCAUGAUCACUAUACAGCGGAUUCCUCACUGCUUCCUCACAUCAGUAAUAAUCUGGGGAAGAAAAAAUUAUUACACUCUGUAUUCCAGUGCUAAUAUAUGAACAUCAUGAAACCAAGACAUUUGCAGGAGAUGCACAAUGACCUCAGAUAUAAAUUUUUAUUAUCUACUCAAUAUAUUUAUUUUUAGAUUUUUAUUGGUUAAUUCUUUAAAUAGGGAAAAAAAUUCUGCCAAAGGUGAAAACUAUUGUUUUUCUUAGCCGCUGACAGAUAUUUGUUCUUGUUUUAAACAUGAACUCAUUUAUAUUUUAGUAAAUCCUUCGCAGUAAAUGAUUUAAGGAUGUUCAGAUAUUUGAGCUUGAAAACAAGAGGAAGAGCAUCAUUCUCUGCGGUGAAGAAGAACACCAUGACCUUCAUCAGAUUAAAAUCUCUCGUGUUUGUGUCCGAGUCGAACGGUGGUGGGUAAAAGAAAAGAGUAAAAAAUAAACCCUGGACAAUCUUCCUAAAACAUACGUCUGCAGGAGCCUCGAUGAUUAUAAAUAUGCUUUAUCUUUAUCACAGUAUUUCAUCUAGCCUUGUGUUCAACUCCAUAUUUAUACUGAAAAUAAAAGUAGCUGUGAUCUUAUUCUAGUUAGCGGCUCUGAAAUCGAGUGACAGCUGAUUGGUUGAUUCACAAAUGUCUUCACACACAAAAAGUGCUUCAUAUUCAAACACAGUUUAGAUUAACACUCCUAUAACUGUAUUGUCUGUGUGAGAGGAAUCAGACAAUCAAAUCCUGCGAUCGUUUACUCUUCCUCAGCCUGAACAAGUAUUGUUUUUUCUGCUGAACACUAAAGAAGAUGUUUUUUUGAGUGCGAACAGUUGACGGCACCCAUUGACUUCUAUAAUAGAGGAAGAAAUACUAUGGAAGUGAAUGGGUACCAUCAACCGUUUGGUGUUUAAAGCAUCAUCUUUUUAGCAUUCAGCAGAAGACAGAAACUCGUACAAAAAAUAUAUAAUUUAAAAAUAAAUAAAUAUGUAAAAUAAGCAAACACACUUUUUUUCCUAACUAGUGAUUCCCAAAGCAACCAAAUAUGUGUCAUUGUUGUUAACUUAGACUGAAACUACUAAAAACAGUUUUCUGUAAUUGAAAUAAAGCUAAAGUAAAAUGAUACAGAUAAAUCGUGUAAGCUACUACUAAAUAUUGCAGAAACGUAAUUUUCUGUAAAGUUGCUUUGCAAUGAUUUGUAAAGUAAAAAGCGCUAUAAAUUAAGUAGUUAAAUUAAAGUAGUAACUUUUUACAAAAAAGUUGAAAUGCUAAAAUUAUUAAAACACAUAAACAUAAAGGCUAAAAAAAAAAAAAAAAUAAUAAAACUAAUUCCUAAACCUCAAACUGCAACCAUGAGGCUAAAAGCUAUGCUAUGUGUCACUCUGAGUAAGUGCUGUAACAGUUGUAAGAUGUUGUUUGGACGCCAGAACCGUGUGUGUGUGUGUGUGUGUGUGUGUGUGUGUGUGUGUGUUCCUGUGUUUGGCUCCUGGGAUGAUCUGAAUCCUCUCAAAGUCCCUCCCCAGGAUGACGAUGUCACAGAGUAGUACGCCUGUCCCACGAGUCCCGGACAAGACAACACACACAGUCUGACACUGAUAAUCACAGAGAGUUCUACAUAUCAUCUGAAUGUAAUGUUUUGCUACAUUUUUAUUUUAUUUUUUUUAAUCGAGGAAUCAAAGUUUUAAAUGUUUUCAUUUACGGUUAAUAAUCUCUGCUGCUGCUGUUACACUCACAGUCACGAACAGCUUGAAUCAUCUGGACUUUUUUAGUCAAAUAUUUUUUGGCAAAAUUUUUAAGCAUUUUUAUUUUAUAUUAUUUCUUAACUUAUCAGACAAUAUCUGCCUUCAUAUUGCAUGCAUCUUGUUUAUUCUCGCUUAUAAACUUUUUGUUGCUCUUUUUGUUGUUUUUGUUGUGUUGUUUUUUAUCCUCAUUUGUAAGUCGCUUUGGAUAAAAGCGUCUGCUAAAUGAAUAAAUUUAAAUGUAAACUUAACAAAUUAUGGCUUUGUUUCCUUACAUGAAUAUCGAAAUAUUCAACUCAAAUAAACACUUGUAAGAUGCAGUAUUAGAAUUAGAAUUUAAUUUGAAAUACCCUAAACACUGCACAGAGGUUAAGAUGACCAUUGCUACAAAAAUAAAAUAAAAAAAAUUAAACUCAUCCUAUUUUGUUUUAAUUUUCCCUUACUAAAUUAUACAGUUACUGAUGCUAUGGACUGUGGGAUUACUAACAGGCUAUUAACAAAAAUCUGUCUCUAAACCUCUUUUAUCUUUAUUAAAAGUUGAUCUAGACUAAUAUAUGAUAGAAUCAAAUGUUUUGCAAAUCCGCUUGAAAGGCCUGAUCUCAAAUGAUUCGUGAAACGCGCUUCGGAGUUCAGAUCUGAAUCAAAUGUUUUGUGAACUCCGAAGCCCCGAUCAAAUGAUUCGCGAGUUCCGAUCUGAAUCAAAUGUUAUGUGAACUCCGAAGCUCCGAUCAAAUGAUUCGCGAAACUCGCUUCGGAGUCCCGAUCUGAAUCAAAUGUUAUGUGAACUCCGAAGCUCCGAUCAAAUGAUUCGCGAAAUGCGCUUCGGAGUCCCGAUCUGAAUCAAAUGUUAUGUGAACUCCGAAGCUCCGAUCAAAUGAUUCGCGAAAUGCGCUUCGGAGUCCCGAUCUGAAUCAAAUGUUUUGUGAACUCCGAAGCCCCGAUCAAAUGAUUCGCGAAACGCGCUUCGGAGUCCCGAUCUGAAUCAAAUGUUUUGUGAACUCCGAAGCCCCGAUCAAAUGAUUCGCGAAACGCGAUUCGGAGUCCCGAUCUGAAUCAAAUGUUUUGUGAACUCCGAAGCCCCGAUCAAAUGAUUCGUGAAACGCGCUUCGGAGUCCCGAUCUGAAUCAAAUGUUUUGUGAACUCCGAAGCCCCGAUCAAAUGAUUCGCGAAACGCGCUUCGGAGUCCCGAUCUGAAUCAAAUGUUUUGUGAACUCCGAAGCCCCGAUCAAAUGAUUCGCGAAACGCGAUUCGGAGUCCCGAUCUGAAUCAAAUGUUUUGUGAACUCCGAAGCCCCGAUCAAAUGAUUCGCGAAACGCGCUUCGGAGUCCCGAUCUGAAUCAAAUGUUUUGUGAACUCCGAAGCCCCGAUCAAAUGAUUCGUGAAACGCGCUUCGGAGUCCCGAUUUGAAUCAAAUGUUUUGCGAACUCGCCCCGAAUCCCAGAUCUCAAGUUAUUUUCCAGUGAAAGCGCUAUAGCGUUCAUUCGCCUGCAGAACAAUGGCGGAGACUAAAAGUAUUCAGAUGUGUAUAGUGUGCCUUAGUGUUCUAAUUAAAAAAAAUCUUAUUUAGCAUUUCAUAGUUUUCCCACCUACGAAAAUAAAAAACGCGUUGAAAUUGGGCUAUAUGGCGAGAGAAGGAGGCGACAAUUACUGUGUGGAAAGGUGUGCCAAGUACUUCACGGAGGAUGAGGGCCGUGUCCAACCGGAGUAUGGUCGAUCUCGCACCGUGGGCUGUGCCUUCCAGGUUUGCGUGGAAAAGUUGCAGAGACGUUAAAUCACGCGUCAAAACGGGAUGUUUGUAGUGCAGAGCUCUAAAUCUCGAGAUGGUGCUCGAGCACGAUUACAACAGCCUUCCAGUCCCAGAUUCUGAACACAUCAGAAAUCACCAACCCCUCCUGAGAUAUUUUUCCAGUUUGGGUUUUGCAUGGUCCCCAAUAAACUCAACGUGGGAUGCCUCUCCAAUUUCUUUCACAUCAGGGAAUUUAACCUCUACCAGGCCACAGGGAGGUUCUUCAUUUGGGUCCACCACUUUGCCAUCUGCACCAAGGUGUGGAGCAUCAGGGUGGAUGAUGAGACCAGAUGGAAGAACGUUAACGUCAAAGGUCUCCUCAUAGCGGCGAAGAACCUCUGGCUCAAGUUUUAAUCCUCUACACAUCGCUCUCUAGAGACCCCGACAGAUGUUUACACAUACUGUUUAAUGCAAGAUAUAACUGCAUUUAACCUGCAAUUACAAAUGCAUAAUGUUUUGAUGUUUUAAUCCCAAAAUGUUGAAUACUGAUAUUUGCAAUGAUAAAAGAAAGAAAGUGCUUUAAGAGGUGAAAUUAAAAACACCAAUAUCUAGACAAUCAUGAAUUGUAACAUCACUUCCUUUAAUGUUUUUACUAUACAGUUGAUAUGGAAUUUGUUUAAAUAUUAAAUUUGUAAAAAAAAGUAUUACCCGUUUAAAUGAAAUGCUUAUACAAAAUAAAUAUGUAGUUUACUUUAAAGUAUAUCUACAUUUCUUGCUUUCAUACAUGGUCAUAUGAAAAAAAAAUUGCCGUACUUAAGUGGUAGAUUUCUGCCAUUUACUGGAAACCAUUUAAAAUUACAAUUUUAAACAAAAGCACUAUAUGAACAUUCUGAGUGAUUUUAUUACACUAAUAUACAAUCAGACAUCCCAAUUUCUGUUUUGGUAAAGUCAUUAAGUGUCAUGUCAUUUAGAUGAAUUAGAAUUUAAUUUGGGGUCCUGAAAUACCCUGAACACUACACAGAGGUUAAGAUGACCAUUGCUACAUAAAAUAAAAAUUGAAACUCAUCCUAUUUUGUUUUAAUUUUCCCUUACUAAAUAAUACAGUUACUGAUGCUAUGGACUGAGGGAUAACUAACAGGCUAUUAUUAAAAAUUUGUCUCUAAACCUCUUUUCUCUUUAUUAAAACUUGAUCUGGUAGCCUACAUGAUAGAAUCAAAUGCUUUGCAAAUCCGCUCGAAAGACCUGAUCUCAAAUGAUUCGUGAAUCGCGCUUCGGAGUCCCGAUCUGAAU